rnacentral:rRNA from 1 species
UACGUAGGGGGCGAGCGUUGUCCGAAGUUACUGGGCGUAAAGCGCGCGUAGGUGGUUCGUUAAGUUGGAUGUGAAAUCCCCGGGCCUCAACCUGGGAACUGCAUUCAAAACUGACGAGCUAGAGUAUGGUAGAGGGUGGUGGAAUUUCCUGUGUAGCGGUGAAAUGCGUAGAUAUAGGAAGGAACACCAGUGGCGAAGGCGACCACCUGGACUGAUACUGACACUGAGGUGCGAAAGCGUGGGGAGCAAACAGG